rnacentral:rRNA from 1 species
ACCCAGCUUCCAAGAAAAGCCGCGAUGGUAGUGCUUCAUGGUCCGUACCGCAAACCGACUCAGGUGGGCGGGAAGAGUAUUCCAAGGCGCGUGAGAGAACCCUGGUUAAGGAACUAGGCAAACUGGCCCCGUAACUUCGGGAGAAGGGGUGCCGCGAUGCGUGAAAGGACUUGCUCCUCGAGCGCUUCGCGGCCGCAGUGAACUGGGGGUUGCGACUGUUUACUAAAAACACAGGACUGUGCGAACUCGGAAGAGGACGUAUACGGUCUGACGCCUGCCCGGUGCCGGAAGGUUAAGGGGAGACGUUAGCGCAAGCGAAGCAUCGAACCGAAGCCCCGGUAAACGGCGGCCGUAACUAUAACGGUCCUAAGGUAGCGAAAUUCCUUGUCGGGUAAGUUCCGACCUGCACGAGGGCGUAACGACAUCCCCGCUGUCUCGACCAGGGACUCAGCGAAAUUGUUCUGGGGGUGAAGAUACCCUCUACCCGCAGCAAGACGGAAAGACCCCAUGAACCUUAACUGUAACUUGACAGUGAGGUUCGGAAUAUUCUGCGUAGAAUAGGUGGGAGACUUUGAAGUCGGGGUUCUGGCCUCGACUGAGUCACAAUGUGAAAUACCACCCUGGAUGUUCUGGACUUCUCACCGACUUCCAUCACUGGAAGCGGGACACUGUCUGGCGGGCAGUUUGACUGGGGCGGUCGCCUCCCAAAAAGUAACGGAGGCGCACGAAGGUCACCUCAGGCUGACUGGAAACCAGCCGUAGCGUGCAAAGGCAGAAGGUGGCUUGACUGCGAGACCGACAGGUCGAGCAGGUGCGAAAGCAGGUCUUAGUGAUCCGGUGGUCCCACAUGGAAGGGCCAUCGCUCAUCGGAUAAAAGGUACUCUGGGGAUAACAGGCUGAUCGCGCCUGAGAGUUCACAUCGGCGGCGCGGUUUGGCACCUCGAUGUCGGCCCAUCGCAUCCUGGGGCUGGAGCAGGUCCCAAGGGUUCGGCUGUUCGCCGAUUAAAGCGGUACGCGAGCUGGGUUUAGAACGUCGUGAGACAGUUCGGUCCCUAUCUGCUGUGGGCGCAGGAAACUUGAGAGGACCUAUCCAUAGUACGAGAGGACCUGGAUGGACGCACCUCUAGUGAUCCGGUUGUUUCGCCAUGAGCAUCGCCGGGUAGCUAUGUGCGGAACAGAUAAUCGCUGAAAGCAUCUAAGCGAGAAGCUGACCUCAAGAUCAGGUUUCCCCAUCAGACUCGACGUAGACUACGUCGUUGAUAGGCCGGGUGUGAUCGCAGAGCAAUCUGCGGAGCUAACCGGUACUAAUUGGUCGAUUGGCUUGCAG